rnacentral:lncRNA from 1 species
GCUUUAUCUGCCUCUAUCCCCGUUUCAUCUCCCUAGGAGCUCCUGGAGAAAGGGGCUUUUAAUUCGUCUUGUCAAGCUGUCAUCAUGGUGUGCUGCCGCAGAGGACCACUAGGUGCCGCCAGAGCACCAGCCAGCCUGAUUUACUGCUCACCUGGAGUCGGUCUAAAGGAGCAACUGGUGGGGAAGGGAGCUGGGCCUUUUCUUCCUGCCCUGCAGCCCACCUCUCCUUCCUAUAGAUCCUAAAAUGCACAACCCUAUGCUGUGGCUGUAGUGGAAAACGGGGAAAAUGCAUGUUACUGAGACCUAGCCAGAGCUAGAAACUGUGGGAA